rnacentral:rRNA from 1 species
UACGGGGGGAGCAAGCGUUGUUCGGAUCUACUGGGCGUAAAGGGCGCGUAGGCGGCCACCGCAAGUCGGUUGUGAAAUCUCCGGGCUUAACCCGGAAAGGUCAAUCGAUACUGCGGGGCUAGAGUGCAGAAGGGGCAACUGGAAUUCUCGGUGUAGCGGUGAAAUGCGUAGAUAUCGAGAGGAACACCUGCGGCGAAGGCGGGUUGCUGGGCUGACACUGACGCUGAAGCGCGAAAGCUAGGGGAGCGAACGGG